UACGUAGGGUGCAAGCGUUGUCCGGAAUUAUUGGGCGUAAAGGGCGCGUAGGCGGUCCAUCGCGUCGGGGGUGAAAAGCUGGGGCUUAACCCCAGUCCUGCUUCCGAUACGGGUGGACUAGAGGUAUGCAGGGGAGAACGGAAUUCCUGGUGUAGCGGUGAAAUGCGCAGAUAUCAGGAGGAACACCGGUGGCGAAGGCGGUUCUCUGGGCAUUACCUGACGCUGAGGAGCGAAAGCAUGGGGAGCAAACAGG
rnacentral:rRNA from 1 species